rnacentral:tRNA from 1 species
GCUGAGGUAGUCAAGCUAGGCCAACGACGCAGGACUUAGGAUCCUGUCCUUAGUGGUUCGCGAGUUCAAAUCUCGUCCUCAGCACCA